rnacentral:lncRNA from 1 species
GGGGGGGGCUAGGAUGAAAUUUGAAGAAAAAAGGCAGGACAGGAUUUUGAGUAAAAAAAAAGGCAGGAUGAGUAACUUGGCAACAACAAAAAAGACAGGAUGACAAUUGUUGUGAAAAAGUCAGGAUAAGCUAAGAAAAAAAAAGGCAGGACCGAAUAGACUGAAAAAUAAAAAGGCAGGACAGAGAUUACAAAUAAAAAAAAAGGCAGGACACAAUUUUUC